CUCUGUGUGUGCUGAACAUUUAGGAUUGAGUCAGGCUGCAUUGACUGUGGGACUUUAAUGUGUUAAAAGCAGGUUGAAGACGGCUCAGAAACAUUUGACGAUUAAAAUGUACAUUUAUUUAUUAAUUAAUUAAUUUAUGGCUGCUGGUGAUUUGUAAAGCCUCUACUCAGCUGUAUUUUUGUUACUAAUUUAUGUUUGUUGUUGUUUAACAAAGAUUUCAGAAGAGCAAAGAUGAGGACUCCUACUUCAUCCUUAAUAGUUUAACUGGAUUGGAAAUCAAAAAAAUCCUGAUUCUUCUUCCACAGAAGUUUCAUUUGUCAGUGUGGAUCUGCUGAGUCACCUGAAGAACUCAUUUCAUUCUCCACGAUGUUGAUUUACAGAAAUGUUUCACAGGAACUGAUUCCUCCCAAAGGGUGAACUAGUGUGUUUCCAUAGAUUAUCUCUGUAUGAAUGUACUUCUUAAAUGAAGGCAAGUGUUUGUCCUGUUUUGUUCCUCAGGUACAGUACGUGAUAUUAAGGGCAGGCGGUCAUCACUGGGGGAAGACAAGAAGCAGAUGUACUUCCAAGAGGGAGCUGCAGUGAGGACACAGCCUGGUCACUGAAGUCAGAGGAGGCGCUGAAAGGUUUCCCUAAUAGUUCCUGGUGAAUCAAAGCAGAACCAUAAAGGUUGCUGGACUGCAUGAUGGCCUUACCCCUGAGCAGUCAUCCUGUUAAAGGACCAACCAGUUAGAAGCUGUUUUCAAAGUAGCUGAGCAGAUUUCAUCUCAAUAGAUCAAAGCAGCUCGUGCUCUGUCUGCUUCCAU